rnacentral:hammerhead_ribozyme from 1 species
AUCCAACUGACGAGUCCCAAAUAGGAUGGAACGCCCAUCCUGCAU